rnacentral:rRNA from 1 species
ACGUAGGGUGCGAGCGUUGAUCGGAAUUACUGGGCGUAAAGCGUGCGCAGGCGGCUUUGUAAGACAGGUGUGAAAUCCCCGGGCUUAACCUGGGAACUGCGCUUGUGACUGCAAGGCUUGAGUGCGGCAGAGGGGGGUGGAAUUCCACGUGUAGCAGUGAAAUGCGUAGAGAUGUGGAGGAACACCGAUGGCGAAGGCAGCCCCCCUGGGUCGACACUGACGCUCAUGCACGAAAGCGUGGGUAGCAAACAG